AGAGAGAGACAUGCGCGCAUAUCAAUAAGCGGAGGAAAAGAAACUAACAAGGAUUCCCUUAGUAACGGCGAGUGAAGCGGGAAGAGCUCAAAUUUGAAAUCUUCAAGGGUUUACCUUGACGAAUUGUAGUUUAUAGAAGUGUUUUCUGUUAGAGAGGUUGGUAAAAGUUCUUUGGAAUAGGACAUCAUAGAGGGUGAGAAUCCCGUAUUUGACCAUUAUUUUCAGCUGUGUGAUACACAUUUCAAAGAGUCGGAUUGUUUGGGAAUGCAGUCCAAAAUGGGUGGUAAAUUUCAUCUAAAGCUAAAUACUUGGCGAGAGACCGAUAGCGAACAAGUACCGUGAGGGAAAGAUGAAAAGAACUUUGAAAAGAGAGUUAAACAGUACGUGAAAUUGUCAAAAGGGAAGCGUUUGACACCAGUGUUGUUUUUCUCGAAAAUCAAUUAAGAAUGUUUUAUUUUUGAGGAGUUAUGACUUCAUCGGCUUGCUCCUUUCUUUAUGGAACUUUCUUAAUGCACUUUUCGGUUAACAAGUCAACAUCAAUUUCUUUUGUUGUAAAAGAGUAUGAGGAAGGUGGCUUUCUUUUCGGAGAAAGUGUUUAUAGCCUUGUACUUCUGCAAUCGGAGAGAUUGAGGUCUGCAGCGUAGAUCCUUCGGGGUUAGAUACAUUUGUGCUAAGUUAUAGCUUUUCAUAGACAACUUGUUGAUUAUGUUAAGUCUUGUAGCUUACUCGCUUAUGCUAUUUUACCUACGCUUAGGAUGUUGACAGCAGUAUAGACUGU
rnacentral:rRNA from 1 species